rnacentral:rRNA from 1 species
UACGGAGGGAGCAAGCGUUACUCGGAAUUAUUGGGCGUAAAGGGCGCGUAGGCGAUUGUGCAAGUCUCUUGUGAAAGCCCCCGGCCUAACCGGGGAAGUGCAGGAGAUACUGCUCAAUUUGAGUUCCGGAGAGGAAGGCAGAAUUCCCGGUGUAGCGGUGAAAUGCGUAGAGAUCGGGAGGAAUACCAGUGGCGAAGGCGGCCUUCUGGACGGAUACUGACGCUGAGGCGCGAAAGCCAGGGGAGCAAACGGG